rnacentral:rRNA from 3 species
CCGCAGAGUCGACCCGGGGAAUUCAGCCCGCGCCGCCAGCGGCGCUCGCAAAGUUCGGAUCCGCAAGGACCGGGCCAGCGGGACGUCCGCGUGGCAGGGUGCACUUUCUCCGCGGUCGAGUGCUACGACCGGUUUCGAGGCGGUCAGAAGCCCGGCGGAAAGGUAGCGCCGCCCUUCGGGGUGUCGUGUUAUAGGCCGCCGCGGUGGACUCGCCGCGAGACCGAGGACGCUUGCCGCGCCGAGCGGUCCCGGGCCGUCUUGGGAGGUUCGACCUCGGCUGCACUGCUCCGCAGAGCACCGUAACCGCCGCCCUAGCACGGGUCCGGAGACUGCCGGCGCCUCGGGUCAGUAGCGAAUCGGUCGGU